GCGUGCGGGAGGUGUCGUUUUCAGCGGACAUGCGGAACGCGGUGGGGAAAGAAGCGGAUACUCGGAGCCUUUCAGCAGCGGAGCAGAUGGCGAUCGGGAUCUUCUGUCUGUCCAUUGGGUUCAUCUACGUGGCGGCCAUCUACUUCUACCUGCGGAAGCGGCACAGAAUCAAGCACGGCUGCUUCAAAGGCGACACCGAGAGCGUGGACGGAAACACCCGCGACUCGCUCAUCAUCCCGGAUGAAGGUGUCGUCAAGAACAACCCCCUGCUCCAGCACUGCCCGGAAGGGCAGGACAACGAGGGCUUCCUCUCCGAGUCCGGUGGCAGCUGCUGCUCCGACACCGAGCGCUCAGAGAACUGCCUCGAUGACAAGAUGCAGCGGACCUGGGCGAUGGUCCACCCACGGCGGCACGGAGGAGGGGGCGGGGGCGGGAAUGAAGGGCAGGGGCAUGGGCACGGGCAGGGGGGCGAGGGAUCGGAGGAGGGGAUCUACAACAUGGAGCCCCUGCAGUUAUCUGAUCAGAACACAAUAGAGCGGCUGCCGGAAGAGAACGUGUCCAUCGUGGAAACGCUGGAGCAGCGCGAGGACCGGCCCGAAACUGUCAAAGCCAUGACCUGCGCCAACGCCCGCAAAAAGCUCUACUUCAACCCAGCCUAUUUCGAGCCCGAGCUUCUUUUAGCCCCACCACCAGCUGCGAUCGAAUUUUUAACUAAAAUUCGAGAAGUAAUAGCGAUUGCAAAGCACAAGAUGGCUGCCAAAAAAUUCACCCCGAACCUAAUCGGGAUCCCAGAGGAGGACUACGGAAACCCGUUGCGACCCACGAGCAGAAUGUCGAGCGUCCGGAGCAGCCGCCACGGUGGCGCUUCCUACAGACACGAACGAAGCCGCCCGAGCAGCCUGAUCAAAGAAGAGCACGGUAGAGCUGGCAGGAGCAGUAUCAUCAGCUGCGAGGAUUGUCCCGACUGCCAACGAGAACUGCAACAGCAAGAAAACGUCUGCCGUCACUGCUACAACAACAACCACCACCAGGCCGAGACCAAACAAAAGAGCAUACGCAAAUGGCUUCAAGACGUACCCCUCCAGCCCAAGUGUCCUCUGAGUGACUCAGAAUCUGUUGCGUCUUCCAAAUGCAGCCGCCGAAGCUGCCACAAUAGAGCCAUAGCCAAAAGACACGGUUUGGAUGACCACCACUUCAGCUCGCGAUUGAUGCCCAGUGGAACUGCCAUAAAAUUCAUCGAGAACGAAUUUAACGACCAGUCCAGUAUCAUGAGUGGUAGGUCGGGUAACAGCGGGAAGAGUGGCCGAAGCGGCCGCAGUGCCCGUAGUGGGAAGAGCGCUCAAAGCGCCACCAGCUAUAGGAGCGGCCGGUCCUGUCGGUCAAACCUCAGUAGGAAGUCCAUUGCGUUUUCCAACCUACCAUACGUGAACCAGCAGAACGAAAUUAACCGAAUGAAAACGAUCCAGGAAGACCUUAUGUCCACUGUAGAGUCGGAGGGUAGGAAGAAUGGUAGUAACGCAGCAAGCAGACCGAAAAUGAAGCCUCCACCUUGUCCUCCGCCUCCUCCACCCCCACCCUCCAUGUGUAGUGGAGAUACCGGGGUGGUAGACACAGAAUCCCUUGCUGAGUCAUCGGUGAGCAAAGAGAACUUCAAAGUACCGAAAGUAGCCAAGAAACUGAUGGACGCUGUCAUCAAAGAGUUCGUUGGUGUGCGAGGCUUGAACGACACGGAUCCGAGGGAGGAGCAACCGUCACCAGCCGAGGAGGAGUUCAGAGCUGAACCCGUGGUAAACCCACCGCCCCAUCGAUCUAAAAUCUCAGAGACGAGGUCACCACUACCUAUGAAGAAGAACGGAGAGUCGAAACUCAACAGUAAGAUGAUAGUGCACCAACACAACCCAGCAUUGAAUGCAACCGACAUCGAAAAGGAUGACAAUAGUGCUCCUGCGCCGGUUGCAGAAACCGAAAAAACAAAGGUAGGAGUUGCUGUGGAAAACACGAGCAAACCCAUUCCUCCACUACGGUUGGAUUCACUGAAGAGCAGAGACGAGGGCCGGUUGUCGGACUUUGAAACGGAUAGUUUAGACAAGUCCAUCUACGACCUCAACGGAGACGAUAGAGGCAUAAGGACUCCCUCCGAUUACGGUGACGUUCUGAUCAAGAGAACUGAGCUGAACAACGGGUUGAUCCACUGCUCUCGCCUACCUAUGGACGAAGAGGUGGAAAUGAGGAACGACAUUCUGAAUAUGACGACGGGCAAUAAAACGAUAUCAAAAAUGGCGCGGAGUCCACGACCACCGUUGAUCGAAGACCACGAAUACGAGAUUAUAUCGAUGGCUCAGAACGAGAUUCAGACUGGUCGACCCAUGAGUAAGAACGAUAUAUUAGCAGAUCACACCGAACCAGAGGGGUACAGUCUGGUGAGCGAGGUAUACAUUAACGACACUUUUGGUUCCGGCUCCACGAGCAACUCCUCGAGCCUCACUAGUAACCAGACAAAUCCACCGGAGCCUCCCAUGGCAAGGACGCCAAGAUCCACUAUAAACAGCAGCCGGGGCAUCUUAUGA
rnacentral:lncRNA from 1 species